rnacentral:rRNA from 1 species
GGAAUUUCGGCAAUGGGGGAAACACUGACCGAAGCACGCCGCGUGAACGACGAAGUACUUUCGGUAUGUAAAGUUCUUUUAUAUGGGAAGAAAAAUUAAAAAUUGACGGUACCAUAUGAAUAAGCCCCGGCUAACUAUGUGCCAGCAGCCGCGGUAAUACAUAGGGGGCGAGCGUUAUCCGGAUUUACUGGGCGUAAAGGGUGCGUAGGUGGUUAUAAAAGUUUGUGGUGUAAGUGCAGUGCUUAACGCUGUGAGGCUAUGAAAACUAUAUAACUAGAGUGAGACAGAGGCAAGUGGAAUUCCAUGUGUAGCGGUAAAAUGCGUAAAUAUAUGGAGGAACACCAGUGGCGAAGGCGGCUUGCUGGGUCUAUACUGACACUGAUGCACGAAAGCGUGGGGAGCAAACAGGAUUAGAUACCCUGGUAGUCCACGCCGUAAACGAUGAGAACUAAGUGUUGGCCAUAAGGUCAGUGCUGCAGUUAACGCAUUAAGUUCUCCGCCUGAGUAGUACGUACGCAAGUAUGAAACUCAAAGGAAUUGACGGGACCCCGCACAAGCGGUGGAUCAUGUUGUUUAAUUCGAAGAUACACGAAAAACCUUACCAGGUCUUGACAUACUCUGCAAAGGCUUAGAAAUAAGUUCGGAGGCUAACAGAUGUACAGGUGGUGCACGGUUGUCGUCAGCUCGUGUCGUGAGAUGUUGGGUUAAGUCCCGCAACGAGCGCAACCCUUAUUGCUAGUUACCAUCAUUAAGUUGGGGACUCUAGCGAGACUGCCAGUGAUAAAUUGGAGGAAGGGUGGGGGAUGACGUCAAAUCAUCAUGCCCCUUAUGACCUGGGCUACAAACGUGAUACAAUGGCUGGAACAAAGAGAAGCGAUAGGGUGACCUGGAGCGAAACUCACAAAAACAGUCUCAGUUCGGGAUUGGAGUCUGCAACUCGACUCAUGA